CUGCCACGUCAGAGCACCAACAGAAGGAUCUCAAGGCGUUUAUUUGUGACCGAUGCAGGGACAAGCCAGGGAUUUAGGGAGUGACCUGCCUACACCAGAGUGCAGUGAGGACAGACCCAUAACGAUUUUCUUCUCCAUAACAUGAAGGCACUCCAGGGGAAGCUGCUUAGUCAUCCCAUGAAGCUUCCUGGAAAUGGAGCAAACAGCAACGCCACCACAAUACCUAUGACUGCAUGACCAGAAUACCACAGAGGGAGCACCCUGUGAGUUAACUUUUGCCAUGACAAGCCCAGAACAAAGUUCUAUGAGGAUGACCAGGGCUGCUGGCAAGGGGAGAAGGCCUCAAAGAAGCACAGGAGAGAUUUAAAGGACACAGCAAAAACAUUUUAUCCUUUUCACCUCUUCUCUUGACUCAUGAAAUCAAGUAAAAAGAUACAGAGAAUAUUCCAAGUACCAUUUCAACCCAUCAAGCAGCAAGGGUCAAGGACAGCCUUCUCAGACACCACUGCUCAAGUGAUCCAAAUCCAUGUCUAAAGUGAGUUUCUUUCACCUUGCAAAUAUAUAUGUACACAAGUUAAAAGUUAUUUACCUUAGAGACUUGGGGUUAUUUUUACAUUUGUGGAAGGUUUUAAAUUAC